rnacentral:lncRNA from 1 species
AUGUCACCUUUACCAUUACAAAGUAGCACAGAAGCCUGCGGGCUAGCACUGGUCAGUCCUGAGUCCGACCCACACGCACCGGCUUCGUAUGACCCGACGACAGGUAACUUCAGGAAGCCACACAGGGUGCGUCUGCUCAGGAGGAGCUGGAGCUCCCUCAUGCCAGGUUCCCGGAGUUUAGAAGCACUGAUAGAGAAGACCAAAGCCACACUUACUGGGAGGAAUGAUGAUCUGAAUCUGCAUACACAAGAUCUUCAGAAAGUGCAGAGGGUGUUCUCAGCCAAAACCCUACCCAAGAGUGUGUCCCAGGGUUCAGUUGCCUCUGAUUCACCUGGUGGAUCAAUGGGAGCCUCGGCGUUGCUACAGGAGACAACAGCGCCCAGGCUGGAUGUGGGAACGUGGAAGUGCCGAGCGCCAUUCAGUCACUGCUUCCUCAGGAGAAAGCCAAACACUCAAGGUGGCCAUAAAGACAGAGAGAUGCCUUCACAUGCUCCGGUUUCUAAAGGCUCGGUUUCAGCCAGGGAGAAGGAAAAUCCUGACUGUAAAUCUGAGAAGAGCAACACGAGCGUGUGUGUGGAUAACAUGAGCCUUGAAGAAAGACUAGCUCAUAUACACUCAAUGAAGGGAAAAACCUAUAGUCUUCAUACAGGGUUUGCAAUUGCACGAAAGGAUGCCUUAGAGAUGAUGGGCGUGUUUCACUACAGUGAGAAAAAAAAAAGUGAUGUUCCAGAAACGGCUGACACGGAAACGUGUUCCCAGCUGCUUUUUGCACAGGCCAAAGUACUGAGUGGAGCCUGCAGUAGAAUGGCCACAGAGUACAGCAGCCCAGAGGAGCUGCUACUCACGCUGACGCACAGCUUCCACUCACUCUGCUGUUUAAUGCAAGCGUGCAUGUCACUCGUGGAAAGCCUAAACACCGAAAGCGAAAGGCGAGAGGUGGUAGCCAAAGUGGACGAGGUCAUCGUGAACUACGCGUGUCUGUUAAAAGCAGCCGAGGUGGCUGCAGCAGGUUCCCCCAGUGACCAAACUGUGAAUGCGUUGACACAUUACUCAGCUACCAUGUCUGUCGUUAUAAACACACUGUCUCACUCACUUGAAACAUCGCUCAACAACAAACUGUUAUUUUGA